AUUGAACGCUGGCGGCAGGCCUAACACACGCAAGUCGAACGGCAGCACAGAAGAGCUUGCUCUUUGGGUGGCGAGUGGCGGACGGGUGAGUAACACGUAGGAAUCUACCCAGUAGUGGGGGAUAACCUGGGGAAACCCAGGCUAAUACCGCAUACGCCCUGAGGGGGAAAGCGGGGGAUCUUCGGACCUCGCGCUAUUGGAUGAGCCUGCGUCGGAUUAGCUAGUUGGUGGGGUAAGGGCCCACCAAGGCGACGAUCCGUAGCUGGUCUGAGAGGAUGACCAGUCACACCGGAACUGAGACACGGUCCGGACUCCUACGGGAGGCAGCAGUGGGGAAUAUUGGACAAUGGGCGCAAGCCUGAUCCAGCCAUGCCGCGUGGGUGAAGAAGGCCUCGGUUGUAAG
rnacentral:rRNA from 1 species